CCCGACUGUUUAAAUAGCGCGAAUGAUCGAGAACCACCAGCAGUCAUUCUCGACAGCCCCCAGUUGACGGACGACAUAGCAAUGGAAAACGAAACGGUCAGCCUCGAAGCGAUAGUCAACAACAACCUGACAGGACGGGACUUGCAGGAAUUUAAUAGAAUAUACUACGGAAAAAGGGAACACAAUGAAUUGAAACUCAAAGAUUCCUCUAUCGCUGCGGCCAAGGACGCCGACUUCGAAAUCGCGGCGUACGGUUUUCCAGCUAAAAAGGAACAUACAAGACCACCGAGAAUAGUCAAGGUAGGUCUGAUCCAGCAUUCCAUAGCCGCGCCCACCGAUCGUCCGGUCAACGAACAGAAGAAUGCGAUAUUCGCAAAGGUUAAGAAGAUUAUUGACGUCGCCGGACAAGAGGGUGUAAAUAUCAUCUGCUUCCAUGAACUAUGGAACAUGCCUUUCGCUUUUUGCACCCGAGAAAAGCAGCCAUGGUGUGAAUUCGCUGAAUCUGCUGAAGAAGGUCCUACGACUCGCUUCCUAAAGGAGCUGGCUGUUAAAUACGCGAUGGUCAUAGUCUCAUCUAUCCUCGAACGCGAUGAGAACCACAGCGAUAUCUUGUGGAACACGACCGUGGUGAUCAGUGACACAGGUAAUGUCAUCGGCAAGCAUCGUAAGAACCACAUACCGAGAGUGGGCGACUUCAACGAGUCUAAUUACUACAUGGAAGGUAACACAGGUCAUCCGGUGUUCGCGACUCGUUACGGUAAGAUAGCUGUCAACAUCUGCUUUGGACGUCACCAUGUCCUCAACUGGAUGAUGUUUGGACUUAACGGAGCUGAGAUUGUGUUUAAUCCAUCUUGUACAGUCGCUGGGGAAGCCGGGAGUGAGUAUAUGUGGAACGUAGAAGCGCGGAAUGCUGCGAUCACUAACUGUUAUUUCACAGCCGCUAUAAACAGAGUCGGCUACGAGGAGUUCCCCAACGAGUUCACCUCAGCAGAUGGUAAACCGGCGCACAAAGACCUGGGUCUGUUCUACGGUUCGAGUUACUUCUGUGGUCCGGAUGGUGUAAGAUGUCCCGGACUUUCCCGUACUAAAGACGGUCUUCUCAUCGCUGAAAUGGAUUUGAACCUGAACAGACAGAUAAGAGACCGCCGCUGCUACUACAUGACGCAAAGACUAGAUAUGUAUGCGGACAGUCUGAGGAAGGUUCUCGACUUGGACUACAAGCCGCAAGUUGUACAUGAAAAUGAAAAGUGAAGUGUGUGAAGAAGUGACUUUCAUAUAAUUGUUAUUACUAAGUUUCCAUUAUUAAUCAUUUAUGUUAUUCAAUUAAAUAAACGUUUUAUAAA